CCAGACUCCUACGGGAGGCAGCAGUGAGGAAUAUUGGUCAAUGGGCGGGAGCCUGAACCAGCCAAGCCGCGUGAGGGAAGACGGCCCUAUGGGUUGUAAACCUCUUUUGUCGGAGAACAAAACCCGGGACGUGUCCCGGACUGCGUGUAUCCGAAGAAAAAGCAUCGGCUAACUCCGUGCCAGCAGCCGCGGUAAUACGGAGGAUGCGAGCGUUAUCCGGAUUUAUUGGGUUUAAAGGGUGCGUAGGCGGUCCGUUAAGUCAGCGGUAAAAUUGCGGGGCUCAACCCCGUCGAGCCGUUGAAACUGGCAGACUUGAGUUGGCGAGAAGUACGCGGAAUGCGCGGUGUAGCGGUGAAAUGCAUAGAUAUCACGCAGAACUCCGAUUGCGAAGGCAGCGUACCGGCGCCCAACUGACGCUGAAGCACGAAGGCGUGGGUAUCGAACAGGAUUAGAUACCCUGGUA
rnacentral:rRNA from 1 species